rnacentral:miRNA from 11 species
GGGUGUGUGUGUGUGUGUGUAUAUAUAUACAUACACACACACACACACACACACACACACACACAUACAUACACACACAUAU